GCGCUUUCCCCCCCCCCAGCGACUUUCUGCCGCCCGUCAAAGAACUUUCGGGCCACCGUAGCUCUUGACAAGGUUUGAACUAAACUUCCCAGGAGUCCCCACGGCUCCUUUGACUUCAGUGCGUCUCACAGGGAGUGACAGCCGGCUUCUGCCUUUCACCUGGCAAUCUAGGCUUUCCCAAACGCGAGCCCUGAUUUUUCUGCAGAAAAUUUAUUCCACCAUCGCUCGUGGCACUCUACCAUACAUUUUUGCUUGUUAAAUCAUACUUCUCAGAGCUCAAGAGUCGUUUAAAGGUACCUGUUUAUGACCACCCUUACCAUAUGGGGUGAAAAAAUAUGGCAGUAAUAGUCUGAAAUUCAAAAGCACCAGCAGGAAAAUUUGAAGAUAAAUAACUGUGAUUUUGACUGAUUGGAUGUAAAUGAAGGAUAGACUCCAUUGGUUGAAGUCACAUGACCAGAGGCUGAAAAGAAUCUAAGGACUUUGGAAUGACAGUCUACACAUUGACAGUUACCAGCGUGUUUCCCCCAGGUCUCCUCGCUGAAAGCUGCAUCUAGGAAUGAUACACAGUCACGCAGCCCAGAGUUUGGCAGCUGAGCACCUCUGAAUCUCUGGCCUUCAGCACCCGGAGGAUAAUUCCUAAAUCUACAAACUGUCUUGUGCAGCAUUUUUCCCUUCCUCCUCAAAUAAUAUCCAAUUACUGAGUGCUGUGCUGGGAGAACCUGGGGAAAUGCUAGAAGGAAAUGCAGCUGAGAGCCACUGUGGUUUGACAGCUCUCCAGCUACUUUGAAAAUAUUUUGGCAAAAACAAGAUUUUAAGUAAGACUGUUUCUUUUGGUAACAUACCCAAAACUGCAGGUUUUACAUUUUCAGGACUAUGAUUUGGGCCAAAGGGAGAAAUAGGAAAAAAGAAAAGAAAAGAAAAGAAGUAAAAGUUUUUUUCUGAGAGAGGAAGAUAGACUCUAAGGUAAAAGAAUACUUCAUAUGAAAUGCAGAAAUAAGGGUAAGAGGAAAACAUAUGGAUGCAUUUAUAGCAUUCUCUCUGCACUUCUUUACUGAAGAAUUUACCCCUGUCAAAACACGACAUUCUCUUUUGCAAAGAGAUAGUCUGGGAAGGAGUCUCUAGGGAUGGCCAGGCUAGAAUUGUGUUAUUGCUUAUUAUAAGAUGAUCCAUAGCAAUAGAGGAGGGUCAGACCACAUGGGUGCUUUAUUUCAAGCCCUCCUACAUAUAACAGAUGUACCAAGAAAGGAAAUAUAUAGUGUUCAUCACAACCCUUGAUCCUGGGAGAAUAUGCCUAUCUUUUCUUGAUUUAUUUCUUUCCUGAUGGUAUCCAUGCAUGAAAUCCUUAAUUUCUCAAAAAUUUUAGACUCUUUUCUGUGACACAGUCCUUGUAGAACCUAUUUUCCCUGCACAGAAUCAAUAUUGCCCUGACUGUACUUGUAAUCUUAUUGGUUGGUCAUGGUUUUGCCCCACCUCAUGCCCA